GCAGCAUUCGCCCAUCACGGUGGCGGAGGUCCCGGCUGCGAACACCCCCCUCCUCCCAUGCCUCCGCCAUCGAACGACACCAGUAUUUCUGGAGGAGGCGGAAAUUCUUCUGAUGCCAUCACCGGAAUGUCCAGUGAAGAUACGAGUUCUUCCGAGAAUUCCACUGGGAGUGACACAAUGGAAAGUACACCAACCAUGACGUAACUGACAUCCGGAACCAAGACCAGUACGGCGUCAGCUUGACGUGGAGAUGCACUCUGAAAUAAAAAAUCCCCCACAAGCACUCUCUUGCACUCAAAUGCGCACUCUUCUUAGAACUAUGCGCCUUUUGUCGAAGUUCUUGCACUGCCGCAUGUUCAAAUAAAGCAUCCUUGCGCUUA